rnacentral:rRNA from 1 species
CCUACGGGGGGCUGCAGUGGGGAAUAUUGGACAAUGGGGGGAACCCUGAUCCAGCCAUGCCGCGUGUGUGAAGAAGGCCCUCGGGUUGUAAAGCACUUUCAGUGAGGAAGAACGCCUGGUGGUUAAUACCCAUCAGGAAAGACAUCACUCACAGAAGAAGCACCGGCUAACUCCGUGCCAGCAGCCGCGGUAAUACGGAGGGUGCGAGCGUUAAUCGGAAUUACUGGGCGUGAAGCGCGCGUAGGUGGCUUGAUAAGCCGGUUGUGAAAGCCCCGGGCUCAACCUGGGAACGGCAUCCGGAACUGUCAAGCUAGAGUGCAGGAGAGGAAGGUAGAAUUCCCGGUGUAGCGGUGAAAUGCGUAGAGAUCGGGAGGAAUACCAGUGGCGAAGGCGGCCUUCUGGACUGACACUGACACUGAGGUGCGAAAGCGUGGGUAGCAAACAGGAUUAGAUACCCUUGUAGUC